GACGAACGCUGGCGGCGUGCUUAACACAUGCAAGUCGAACGGAAAGGCCCUGCUUUUGUGGGGUGCUCGAGUGGCGAACGGGUGAGUAACACGUGAGUAACCUGCCCUUGACUUUGGGAUAACUUCAGGAAACUGGGGCUAAUACCGGAUAGGAGCUCCUGCUGCAUGGUGGGGGUUGGAAAGUUUCGGCGGUUGGGGAUGGACUCGCGGCUUAUCAGCUUGUUGGUGGGGUAGUGGCUUACCCAGGCUUUGAUGGGUAGCCGGCCUGAGAGGGUGACCGGCCACAUUGGGACUGAGAUACGGCCCAGACUCCUACGGGAGGCAGCAGUGGGGAAUAUUGCACAAUGGGCGGAAGCCUGAUGCAGCAACGCCGCGUGCGGGAUGACGGCCUUCGGGUUGUAAACCGCUUUCGCCUGUGACGAAGCGUGAGUGACGGUAAUGGGUAAAGAAGCACCGGCUAACUACGUG
rnacentral:rRNA from 1 species